GUCGUACGGAAUCGGGUUGAUGUAACAGACCUUAUGCAGCGAUUUACGAGGUGAUUUUUUCGAUGAUUUUUCCGUUGAAAACUGCUUCGCAAAUAUCUAAGAGUUCAAGGAAAAAAAUAUGUAUUGAUAAGGAUUUCUUCCAUUCAUUAAGGAUCAUAGUCGUAGAACAAUAGCUAACCCGAUUCAACCAGCUCACUAGGUCACCGUUUGUAGUUUCCUCCAUAUCUUCUAUUACGUAGCUUUCUAUGGGAAAUCUAUUGUUGUUAGGAUUGAUGAAUUCAGUCUUUGAUAGGGGGUCUGAUUUUUGAGUUGUAAUUGGGGUUAUCCCCAUUUGAAACAUCCAGGUUGAUAUAUAUAUUGUUUUGUUCUUUCUGGUUGUUUCUUUGUUCGAUUUUUGCAACUCAUGGUUCAGAUUUCCGAUGGGUUUGAUUGGAUUGAAUGAAUUGAAUAACAUAAACGUUGGUGGAGCUUUAUCAGAUGGUGGAGGAGGACAUACCAUAGGUUUAUUUCCCAUGAGAAAAAAGAUGUUGAUUGAACCCUGAGGUAAGACUUGUUCCAAAGUUUUCACCUGUAUUUCUUUGUUCCGGGUGUAGAGAAGCUUUACCAGAUGUUGUUGCUGAUGCUGAAAGUAAAUCAUGUUAGCACAACUCUGCAACAAAGCUUCAAUUGGAGAAGCAAAUUUCAUGGUGAUUCUGAAACCGAAGAUCUUUCUCGCUCAAAACUUCAAAUCAAGCAAACAGUCAUUUUUCUUCCUAAUCAAACUUUAGUAAACAAAUCUCAGAUCGCAACUACUUUUUAUCUGUUUUAACUUAAAUCCCAGAUCAAAUAUGAUUAUUGAUAGAUGACUAAGAGUAAACAAAAACCUUUGGUAAUGAAAAUGGAGGUUUGUUUAGGUGGAUCCGUUGAAACUCUAACACUCUCAAAUAACCCGAGUUGCAGAGCAAAACUCGGAAGAGAGAGAGAGUGACAGGCUUCCUCAUAAUUAGUUUGUUGUUCCUCCAACCAUGCAUGAAGAAGAGACGUGUGAGUUUCUCCAAACCGCCUUUCUUCCUCUGCAAUUACUUCCUUCUUCACCUCUGUUUCAAUCACAAGACAAUUGCGAGAAACAUGAAAGGAGUAUAACGCAGAACAUCUGUUGUUCCAACCAUUCAACUAUACAAUGUACCAAUUUUUUCUGUUCAGAUUUCAGUCUCUGAAAUUUGGGGAUCAGUGAUCACUCUUUUUGAGAGCGCAUAAUAGCCGCUGGCAC